rnacentral:rRNA from 1 species
UACGUAGGGUGCAAGCGUUAAUCGGAAUUACUGGGCGUAAAGCGUGCGCAGGCGGCUAUGCAAGACAGAUGUGAAAUCCCCGGGCUCAACCUGGAACUGCAUUUGUGACUGCAUAGCUAGAGUACGGUAGAGGGGGAUGGAAUUCCGCGUGUAGCAGUGAAAUGCGUAGAUAUGCGGAGGAACACCGAUGGCGAAGGCAAUCCCCUGGACCUGUACUGACGCUCAUGCACGAAAGCGUGGGGAGCAAACAGG